rnacentral:sRNA from 22 species
GCCCGUGUGGUAUGGUGUCGGUGUGCGAAAGUACCCGAAACGCUUUCGUUAGGCGUGGAACACCUAAGCCGUGCGGGUUU